ACCAUUUAGACCCGAGUUCCGCUGGGGUCCUCCCUACCAGGUGCCGUUUCAAACAAACAUUGUUGGGGAAGGCAGGAAGCGAGCGCAGGCCCCCCGGUGGCAGUCGCACGGUGGAUAAUACCCAGAUGACGAAAUCAGAGGCCUGGCCUUCAGGCUCAGAAGCACACCAAGUCUGCUCCGUUGGAGGCUGCCAGAGGAUACCCCUGACACAACAGAGUGAUCAGUUGUGGAAGGGCUGUGUUAUUUCUAACCCUCACACUAAUUUUGCAAGAUAGGCCUGCCCUCAGGACACCGAAGCUGCGCUGGUGGCCACCCGUCCCCCGACGACUUUUCUGCAAGUCUAGAGGGAAAUCGGCACCUCCCAGGAGGUUUGGGGCCCCUCUCUCCUCUCUAAGUGUCCCCAGGCCGUUCCCCAGCCCUUCGCUCUGACAGCGGGCCCGCAGCUGUCCAGAUACUGCCUCUGGAAUACGGGAGAAAGCGGGGACACUGAAUAAAAGGGAACCCCAGCCCCGCCUGGCCUAGUCCCCUCUGUCUCAUUCACCUCACAAGGCCGCCCCCACGGAGGACACCGAUUCUCCGGAGAGGAGGCAGCCCCAAACUGUCCCCGGAGCCCUGAACAA